UGGGGAAUAUUGGACAAUGGGCGAAAGCCUGAUCCAGCCAUGCCGCGUGUGUGAAGAAGGUCUUCGGAUUGUAAAGCACUUUAAGUUGGGAGGAAGGGCAGUAAGCGAAUACCUUGCUGUUUUGACGUUACCGACAGAAUAAGCACCGGCUAACUCUGUGCCAGCAGCCGCGGUAAUACAGAGGGUGCAAGCGUUAAUCGGAAUUACUGGGCGUAAAGCGCGCGUAGGUGGUUCGUUAAGUUGAAUGUGAAAGCCCCGGGCUCAACCUGGGAACUGCAUCCAAAACUGGCGAGCUGGAGUAGGGCAGAGGGUGGUGGAAUUUCCUGUGUAGCGGUGAAAUGCGUAGAUAUAGGAAGGAACACCAGUGGCGAAGGCGACCACCUGGGCUCAUACUGACACUGAGGUGCGAAAGCGUGGGGAGCAAACAGG
rnacentral:rRNA from 1 species